CCGAGCUAUGGAAUUUUGGAUCUUUGUAGUUGGACAUCAAGUUUGGAUAUAUGCUGUUUACGAUUGUCUCUCUUGGGUCAUUUCCUUUCUCUAGAAUCAAGUCCCUUGGAAUUUGUAUCCACUCUUCUCCUUCAUCUGAUGUUGUUUGCCUUCACCAAUAUUCAGUAUCCACUCAGCAAAUUCAUUGACUUCCUUUUGUUUUUCUGUGUUGUGAGGCAUACAGGAUUUGUCGAAAGUCUCCUCCCAGCACAACAGUCAUCCCACCAAAUGGCUUUUCAUUGCUGUUCUGGUUUGUAAAUCUGAGUAUAUCUCUCAGACUUUUGUCUAGUGCCUCAAAGCAAUUCCUGUUUGCCAUUGGAGCUUCAUCCCAAAUAAUUAUUGAGGUUUUCUUUAGCAGCUCUGCGAGAUGGGUUCCUUGUUUGAUUUCACAUGUGGAUUCUUCUGUUAUGUUAAGUGGAAUUUUGAAUCUGGAGUGUGCUGUUCUUCCGCCUGGUAUUAGUAAGGCAGCUAUAGCGCAUGAUGCCACAGCAAGUACUAUCUUUCCUUCAGAUCGUAGCUUUGUUGUAAUGGCUUUCCAUAGGUAUGUCUUUCCUGUACCACCGUGGCCUUCGACAAAUAUUUGCUUUCCAAGUCCAUUUUCUACCGACUCCAUUAUCGCAUCGUAUGCCUUUUUUUUUGCUCAGGAUUUAUGUUUUUGAGUAUUGUUUGUAGUUCUCCUUUCAAGCUGUCCCUGUAAUAGUUUAGCUCUUCAUUUAUCAAUCUGUUCCCAAGUUCUUGUAGCUCAUCUGCAUUUGGCAAUUCUAUAUCUGGGUAAUUUUUUAGGGACCUUCCUGCUUGUUGCAUCAGCUUCUCUAUUUCAAUCAAAGUGUAUGUCUUUUUCUGAGAUGCUGUUAACUGCAGUGUC